AUACGGAGGGUGCAAGCGUUAUUCGGAAUCACUGGGCGUAAAGGACGCGUAGGCGGGUUGGCAAGUCAGAUGUGAAAUCCUACAGCUUAACUGUAGAACUGCAUUUGAAACUGCUAACCCAGAGUAUGGAGGGGGAGAUGGAAUUAGUGGUGUAGGGGUAAAAUCCGUAGAUAUCACUAGGAAUACCGAAAGCGAAGGCGAUCUCCUGGAACAUAACUGACGCUAAGGCGUGAAAGCGUGGGGAGCAAACAGGAUUAGAAACCCUAGUAGUCC
rnacentral:rRNA from 1 species